rnacentral:rRNA from 1 species
AAACUCGGCAAAUUGCCCCCGUAACUUCGGGAGAAGGGGGACCUCUGCUGGUGAUGGGCUUUACGUUCUGAGCUGGUGGGGGUCGCACUGGCCAGGGGGAAGCGACUGUUUACUAAAAACACAGGUCCGUGCGAAGUCGUAAGACGAUGUAUACGGACUGACGCCUGCCCGGUGCCGGAACGUUAAGGGGACCGCUUAGCCAGCUUCGGUUGGCGAAGGUGAGAACUUAAGCGCCGGUAAACGGCGGUGGUAACUAUAACCAUCCUCAGGUAGCGAAAUUCCUUGUCGGGUAAGUUCCGACCUGCACGAAUUGCGUAACGACUUCCCCGCUGUCUCAACCACAGACCCGGCGAAAUUGCACUACGGGUAAAGAUGCUCGUUUCGCGCAGCAGGACGGAAAGACCCCGGGACCUUCACUACAGCUUGACAUUGGCGUUUGGAACGUCUUGUGUAGGAUAGGUGGGAGACUAGGAAGCUGUCACGCUAGUGAUGGUGGAGUCAUUGGUGAAAUACCACUCUGGUCGUUUUGAACGUCUAACUCUGGUCCGUGAUCCGGAUCGGGGACAGUGUCUGGUGGGUAGUUUAACUGGGGCGGUUGCCUCCUAAAGAGUAACGGAGGCGCCCAAAGGUACCCUCAGCCUGGUUGGCAAUCAGGUGUUGAGUGUAAGUGCACAAGGGAGCUUGACUGUGAGACUGACAGGUCGAGCAGGAGCGAAAGCUGGGACUAGUGAUCCGGCAUCGGCGUGUGGAAGCGGUGUCGCUCAACGGCUAAAAGGUACCCCGGGGAUAACAGGCUGAUCUUCCCCAAGAGUCCAUAUCGACGGGAUGGUUUGGCACCUCGAUGUCGGCUCGUCGCAUCCUGGGGCUGGAGUAGGUCCCAAGGGUUGGGCUGUUCGCCCAUUAAAGCGGUACGCGAGCUGGGUUUAGAACGUCGCGAGACAGUUCGGUCCCUAUCCGCUGCGCGCGCAGGAGACUUGAAGGGGGCUGUCCCUAGUACGAGAGGACCGGGUCGGACGAACCUCUGGUGUGCCAGUUGUACCGCCAGGUGCACGGCUGGUUGGCUACGUUCGGAAGGGAUAACCGCUGAAAGCAUCUAAGCGGGAAGCUCGCCUUGAGAUGAGGUCUCCCACCCCGUGAGGGGGUAAGGCUCCCGGUAGAUCACCGGGUUGAUAGGCCGGAGGUGGAAGCACGGUAACGUGUGGAGCUGACCGGUACUGAUAGGCCGAGGACUUGACCG